rnacentral:misc_RNA from 1 species
GUAUUGUCGAUUUUUUACCUGAGGUGCAUUAAAAAUACACAGUGCAGUAUAGUGUACAGGUGCCAACUGAAAGAGUUUUAUAUCAUUUUAUAAGAAAAGCUUAGUGAAUCUUGAAACAGUAUUUUAAUUUCUUUUAGUGAGCUUAAAUUUUACUUAUUAAAAAAUGCAAAUCAAUCGGUUAUUCUGUUCUAAUUACGGAAAUGGUCAAAAAGAAGAAACAACAGCUUGCUGUUGUACAUUGAAUAAAGUAAAAAAAAUCUCAAUUGGAGUUCUUGCCCUUCUGUGUUUUCUUCACUUUAUCUUCUUCCCCCUAGCAACGGAAUACUAUAAUGACGAGUGCUUCUUAAGUGCCCAAAAGUAUCAGGCUGUUGUUCAUGCCGUAUUUACAGUUGCAGGUCUCUUAAUACAACAUAAUCAAACAUUUUGGUUAGAUUAUGGAACAUUGCUAGGUUAUAUUAGAUCUGGUAGUAUUCUUCGAUAUGAUUCAGAUGCAGAUGUUGGUCGGAUGAUGUUAAAUGGCACAAAGGAAGCAAAAUUUUGUCGGGACUUUAAAAAAAUCUUACAAGCACAUCACAUGACGUUAGCAGAGAAUUGUACGAAAAUAUUUUAUACUAGCGAGAAUGGAGAUGUUGUACAUGUUGAUAUGUUCCGUUGGAAGAUUUCUACGACAGAAAGUGCGAAUGGAAGUGAAAUUAGAUCUCUAACGAGAAUAGAUGGUAAAGAAAAACACGAGAAGGAUAAACUUCUAAAAUACAGCAAAAAGAUGGGAGCAGGAAGCCUCCCGGCAGAUCUUGUUCUUCCUGUUCAGACAGUGAAAAUGAUGAAUAAACUUGUUAAAGUGCCCAAAGAACCUAUAGAUGUGAUAAAAGUACGAUACCCACUUAGCUAUAAAAUUCCGUUCCCAUACAAAUGGAAGUGUUGGCUACCGUGGAAUUUUCCUAAGAAAGUGCCAGAUAAGUCAUCAUAAUAGAAUAACAAAUUUUACAACGAAAUGAUUAAAAUGACUAAGAAAUUCAGAAUAGAAAUCAAAUCGCCCCUCUUCAGCGAUUAUUGAAUAUUUUAAGAUUACAACUAUGGAUAAGUUUAGUUAUUUUAUAUUUUAUAUAUCUAUUAUUAUUUUUUAUUUUUUCAUCUUUUUCUCUUUUCAAAUAUAUAACAGAAUUUCGUUUUUACAUUAUGAAUUUUUAAAAAUGAGAAGAGAUAUUACUAUUUUAAUAUCAUACUAUUAUUCUUCUUUUAUGGGAUAGUUAUGAAUAUGCCCGUUCAGAAAUUGAUUAUUCAACGAAAAAGAAAACAAUCAAUAUUUCUUAAUCCUGAACUAUAAUAUAUAAAAGCUAAGCGUUUAUAUAAAUUCUUAAAUUUUGCAGUCCAUUUUUAAUAGUUCUGGAACAUUAUAACAGAGUGAAAUAGAAAUGGGACAUAUGUGCCGUUUUAAAAGAACCUUUACGCAGAUAUCUGAUUGUUAUAUGUAAAAAAAUUAUUUGUAUUUGGAACACAGACAGUUUAAGUUUAUUCAUAAAGAAUUUUACUUCAACUAGAAGAUUUGAAUCAAUCUCUUUACUAAUCAGUCGACGCCUGUACAAUACCUGGUCUCUUUUAGUUGAUAAAAAUUGAUAAAAAAUAAAUGAUACGUUUAAAACAUCAUCUAAAAUGUACGUUGCUAGCUUCCACUUGAUAAGAAAAAACCAGGCUUAGUUGUAGGUAAAUUCUGUGUAAAUUAAAGGUUAACUUAUUCCCUAUAUAAAACAUUCUAUUUACUUAUGGGGGAGACAAAAAUUUCUAGGAGUGGGCAACAGCAUAUUUGCUUAUUGCCCAUAAUGCUAAAUAUUUAAUAUUUGUUUUCCUCACACCCUUUCGUUCUUUUAUACCCGUCAUUCUCUAUCUCUUUCCUCAGAAAUCUAUAUUUUAAUCAACAGUCAUAUCUGAUAUCAUACUUAGUAUUGACGAACGCGACAAAAUUAUAAAGUAAUUAUUAUAUGCUUUGAGUUAUUUUGCAUAAAUAACAGAAUAAAUAUUCAUUGUCUUAUAAACUUUUAAAAAGUAUAUAUUUGAAUAUUAACAACAAUAUUGGUACAAAUAUAUUAAUUAUAUGUUACAUAGUAUAGCGUUACGUGUCUUUGUUGCCAAAGUUCUUUUUUUAUCAGUACCAGAAAAUUUUACUCUACAGUUGGAAUAGUAAUUUAUUAUAGAACAUAUAGAUCAGGUCACACUGAUGAUGAAUCAUCGUUUAGUAGUAAAGUAUUAUUAAUAAAAUGUGACUAUGAGGUAUAAUUUUUCUGCUUUACACAAUAGAAUGUAAGACAGAAAGAACAGAGAGUGUAAUCAACAGGUACAAAAUGAUUAAUAGAGGAGAAAUGAACAAAACAAUAGUUUUGAAUAUUCAUUAGCCAAUGUGACCCCAGAAAUAUAAGUUGUUUAGAGUAAUAGUUCGAAAUAUGUAUGAAUUCUG